rnacentral:rRNA from 1 species
ACAGUGGGCGGGUGCUAUAAUGCAGUCGAGCGACAGAUAAGGAGCUUGCUCCUUUGACGUUAGCGGCGGACGGGUGAGUAACACGUGGAUAACCUACCUAUAAGACUGGGAUAACUUCGGGAAACCGGAGCUAAUACCGGAUAACAUAUUGAACCGCAUGGUUCAAUAGUGAAAGGCGGCUUUGCUGUCACUUAUAGAUGGAUCCGCGCCGUAUUAGCUAGUUGGUAAGGAAACGGCUUA